AUGGAUUGGAGUGGGGACACACAUCUGGCCCACGACACCUGGGAGGCUGACCUGUGCAUCCCACAUGAAGGCAUUCCUUGCCUCUGGCUUACUGGUGAAUCUGGCCAGUGGGGAGCAUCAGGAAGAGACGGAGAAGGGAGAAGAGUGAAGUCAGGGGUUGUCAUGGACUGCCUGUGCCCCUUGAUCCAAGGCCAUGUUGCCCAUCAGUCAGCCCUCUCCACGCUUCCUUUCACUCCAGUGGCUGUAACCUGUGCGUCUCCUUCCCUUCAGUCUUGUGGAGGUGACAGCCCGGGAGUUAUGGAUCUCAGGACACUGCAGUCCCUAUGCUUUCUCUGUUUGUCUUGUCUCCUGCCUCAUCUCUGUAAGAAAUUGCUUUCCUCAGCCUCCCUCACAUCACUGGACCUGAGGGCUUCUUCUAGUGCCUGCUACAAUCCUGACCCAUAUGCUUAAUUUAAAAUAUUUUAACAUUGGAACGGUUUAAAUAUUAUUAUAUGUUAGACUGAAAUAAACAGACAGCAAUAGCUAAUAAGAAACUUUGCCUUGCUUGUGUCUCAAAUCCUCCUCUUGCCCUCCUCCACCAUAAAACAAAACAAAAAUUUAUUUUUAAAAUUGAAGAAAAGAGGUGCUGCUUCGUUCAUGGGAAAGCAGUUAGUGACACCUUUCCCUUUUGAUUGAUUGGAAAGCAUUUUGGGUCAGGGAAAGCCUUUGGGGGAAAUAACAAUCAAAUUGCCUUCUUUUUGUGUGGGGCAAAUAUGACCCUUACGCAGAUCGUGGUCAGGGCAAAGUGGUAUCAAUCCUGGAACCUUGCUAGGUGAUCACUGCUCGCUGAAAUUGGUACUUAUUGAUUUCAUUGCUCAUGGUUUAGUCUCAUCUAUAGAGUUCAAGAUAGGAAUUGUGAUGGUCUUAAGUAGUACAGUGUUCCAGACACAAAGAACAAUGCUCAUGACAGCUACCAAUAAAUUCAAUUUGUCAAGUGAAUUUGUUAUCCACAUUCCGUUGAACCGCAGUAUUAUGGUGGGAGUUAGAAUUUGGAGGAACAGACUCAGGUGAGUGUACUAAACAGAAUUCAUUUAGCAGGCAGCAGUCGAGGAGAUACGGUGCUGUUAGCGAGAAGUGGCCUGGGUAACUGUGGCUCAGGGUCUAGCAAGGUAAGAGGUGGUUCCAAAGAUCUCAUGGGCCAGAGGGAAAGCGACCGUAGACAUCUGUCUGCCUAGAACUGCAGACAGCUGGAGUUUUUAUCAACAGGUUGUAAGAUGUAAGCAACCUGGCAGAUUGGAGGUACUGGGGGUGAUGAAUACAAAGAUGAUUUGACACAGUCCCUUAUAUUCAGUUAUUUGUCUGUUUAGCAUGGAUGUUUGAAAACAGUGAUUACAGUUGACCCUUGAACUCGAGGGAUUAAGAUUGCCGACUCUCCACAUAGUCAAAAUUCUGAGCAUAAGUUAACGUUGGGUCUUGGUAUCUGCGAUUUCUUAUAUCUGUCCCUUAUUCACAGAUGCCGCUAACCAUGGAUCGUGUGGUACUCUAGUAUNNCUAGUGAAAAAAUUCACAUCUAAGUGUACCUGUGCAUUUCAAACCUGUGUUUCUCCCUCAAGAUGGAAAAAAAAACAACACUGGUUAUAAUAUGAAAUUUUCCUUUUAGGGUAAAAAUUGUUAUUCUUAGUUUUAUAAUUGAUUCUAGAUGGUUGCACAGUAAACUAUAGCACAUCAACUUUAAAAUUCCUCAAAUUCUGAAAUACAGAUGGCGAAAUUGACAGCAUGACGGGAUAAAAUCAAGAUUAUUUUUCCAUGGGCAACCGUAAAACACCAAUCUCAAAUCCUUAUUUAAAACUUCCUAAGACAAUCUGGAGAUGCNNNNNNNNNNNNNNNNNNNNNNNNNNNNNNNNNNNNNNNNNNNNNNNNNNNNNNNNNNNNNNNNNNNNNNNNNNNNNNNNNNNNNNNNNNNNNNNNNNNAUUUAAAACUUCCUAAGACAAUCUGGAGAUGCUGAAGUAAAUAUGAUUUUCCUCUUAGCACUUCAUGGUGUAACAGGGAAUAAAUUGAUUUCCAUUCUAACGAGGCACAAAUCACCUAAGACAAAAGAGUAAUCGUCUUGAAAUGGACUUUAAUAAUUUCCCGGCCUUAGAAGAUGCUACAGAUGUCGGUGUGGAAAGGUGAUGAGCAACAUUUCUUAUGGUACAUCAGCUUCAUUUUCCCUGGGCUGAAGAUUAAUAACACAGGAAAUUAAAGCAUGUAUUGUAGUAAAACUCAGAGAAAACCAGAGGCAAAAUAGCUGAAGCAAGGUCAAUAUCUAAGCCAGAAGUUAACAAGAUCAGUGAUAGCUGACACCCGUGCCUAGAUAUGUUUAAUGAAAAUUGCCCACUGAACUCCUACCAGGUAAACGGGCUUAGUUAUUUUUUCCUCAUUCCUGGAGGAUUUCAUUCUUAGAGCACUCACGUUUAAACAGGAGUGUAUUAUUCAGGCCUAACAACUAGUAAGUGUCCCAGUGACUGAAUCAGUAGUGGAAUAAUCAAAAUGAAUGUAUUUAUAGAGAACUGUUGUGUGUGUUAGUGAAUUUGAGAUGAAUAAUUCAGCAGCUUAAAACUUGAGACCUCAUAUCAUGGUUUUCUAUCCAUUCUUUUCAGAAAUUUCUCAUUUAUCUGAAAGCAUGUUUUAGCUCAACCACUUUUUUUUUAUUGUUUAUUUUUAAUUGGAGGAUAAUUGCUUUACAAUGUUGUGUUGGUU
ensembl:lncRNA